CGAGAGGACACUUUUAGUUUUUUUCCAGGGCCAUGUUAAGUUACCAGUCUGUCUCUGGUGAUGUCCAAGGGUAGGCAACUUUGAUGGAAGCAAGCAUUUUAAUGAAAUAUAUGGUAGAAAAUAGCAAAUAUUCCAGUAUAAAGUUGAUGCCCUGUUGUGGUUCUAUUCCCAUUUACAGGAUCAUUGCAGUCCAGACAAACCCUUGAUGUUCCAACCUUUUUCUGUGUGUGGGUAGCUGUGCAGAGACACCCAAUGAAUCCUGCUGACUGUCUGAGAACAUUGCCAUUUAUAGCCAUAAUCCUUUCACACUUCCGCCUGGAUUUACUUAUUAGCGUCAGUAAGAAUCACUACGCAUCAAGAAUGGAAAAUGUCAUACAGAAGAAGCCUAGAGACAAUGAUUUAUUUUAUUUAUGUGUUUAAUUACAUUCCCAGUGGCUUAAAAGUUUGCAUACAUGUGUAAAACAAAUAAAAAAAACGAUGGAAUACCUGCAGAGACCAAUUUAGAAGGGAGAUAAAUGCAAAACAGCUCAGUGGAGAUGGCGGGUUAAAAAAGAAACCCUAUAUGUACACAAAAUAUCUUCAAUUCUUAAAACCUAUAAUGGAGUUACGAAUAACUGUAGACAAUAUCUCUCAUGAAUCUGGCUCAAGACCUUAGUCUACGGAUGUGGAGGUAGAAACACAGGAGGAGAUUACAGCAGAGGCGUCUACAACAGAACAACUAUAGCCUUCAGAGCAAAUAGAAGAAAUACCAUCUGCACAGGCUAUGGAAGAAGACAUUAUAAAAAUGGGACAUGUUCGUGUUUAACUGUGAAGCCAUACACAAAUUUAAAAUAAUAUUAAAAUGAUUAAAUAAUUUUUUAAAGACGUAAUUAGAAAUAAGGUAUUAGAAAGUAUUUACACCAAAUUUAUAAAAAUAUUUGAAUUUUACAAAAUACCUCAGACCUCAAGCCCGCGUCAAAGGUCCUCAUUCUCUUGCGAGUCCCUAAUCUAAACUAACAACAGGGGAUCUAACUAAACUAAAAAAAUAUAAAUUUUAAUAAAAUUUAAAACCAGAUUCCAGCUGAAUUCAGCAACUUCCACGGAUGGCGUCCAACUGCCAUGACAAUGCCCCCUCAGGACUGCAGAAGUAGUCGGCAUAGAGUUCCCAAAUAGCUAGUCCAACUGUUGCAGGGCGUCCAGGCCAGUUUAGGUCUAAAAUGACAGAAGAUGUCAUAUUUAGGCCCAAUUCUGCAUCUGUGGAGGCAUCGUGAAUCCUGGUGAAGUUGUGCAGGAGUACACAGGCAUGUAUCACCAGGAUGGCAUUGUCCGGAUUCAUCUGUAUGGAUGACAUGAACACUCUCCACUUUGUGGACAGUA